rnacentral:rRNA from 1 species
AUUGAACGCUGGCGGCAGGCUUAACACAUGCAAGUCGAGCGGAGACUUCGGUCUUAGCGGCGAACGGGUGAGUAAUACCUAGGAAUCUGCCUAUUAGUGGGGGAUAACGAAUCGAAAGGUUCGCUAAUACCGCAUACGUCCUACGGGAGAAAGGGGGGGAUCUUUGGACCUCUCGCUAAUAGAUGAGCCUAGGCCGGAUUAGCUAGUUGGUAGGGUAAAGGCCUACCAAGGCGACGAUCUGUAGCUGGUCUGAGAGGAUGGCCAGCCACACUGGAACUGAGACACGGUCCAGACUCCUACGGGAGGCAGCAGUCUAGAAGCUUCCGCAAUGGGCGAAAGCCUGACGGAGCGACGCCGCGUGCGCGAAGAAGGCCUCGGUUGUAAG